AUAACUUUCAGCAACGGAUCUCUUGGCUCUCGCAUCGAUGAAGAACGCAGCGAAAUGCGAUAAGUAAUGUGAAUUGCAGAAUUCAGUGAAUCAUCGAAUCUUUGAACGCACCUUGCGCUCCUCUCAACGGAGGAGCACGCCUGUUUGAGUGUCAUGAAUAUCU
rnacentral:rRNA from 1 species